GACGAACGCUGGCGGCGUGCUUAACACAUGCAAGUCGAACGAUGAAACCUAGCUUGCUAGGUCGAUUAGUGGCGAACGGGUGAGUAACACGUGACUAACCUGCCCCUUUCUCUGGGAUAACGCUCCGAAAGGAGUUCUAAUACCGGAUACUCACACCGAGGCACAUGCCUUGGUGUGGAAAGGUUUUCGGAAAGGGAUGGAGUCGCGGCCUAUCAGCUUGUUGGUGAGGUAACGGCUCACCAAGGCGACGACGGGUAGUCGGCCUGAGAGGGCGACCGGCCACACUGGGACUGAGACACGGCCCAGACUCCUACGGGAGGCAGCAGUGGGGAAUAUUGCACAAUGGGCGCAAGCCUGAUGCAGCGACGCCGCGUGAGGGAUGAAGGUCUUCGGAUUGUAAACCUCUUUCAGUAGGGACGAAGCGAAAGUGACGGUACCUAAAGAAGAAGCACCGGCUAACUACGUGCCAGCCGCCGCCGUAA
rnacentral:rRNA from 1 species